rnacentral:rRNA from 1 species
AUAACGACUCUCGGCAACGGAUAUCUCGGCUCUCGCAUCGAUGAAGAACGUAGCGAAAUGCGAUACUUGGUGUGAAUUGCAGAAUCCCGUGAACCAUCGAGUCUUUGAACGCAAGUUGCGCCCGAAGCCAGCAGGCUGAGGGCACGUCUGCCUGGGCGUCACGC